rnacentral:rRNA from 1 species
UUUGAUAGCACCCUACACCCGCUAUCCGCCCGGGUACUACGAGCACUAGUUUAAAACCCAAAGGACUUGGCGGUGCUUUAGACCCCCCUAGAGGAGCCUGUUCUAGAACCGAUACCCCCCGUUAAACCUCACCCUCUCUUGUUCAUUCCGCCUAUAUACCGCCGUCGUCAGCUUACCCUGUGAAGGAGCCCCAGUAAGCAAAACCAGUACAACUCAAAACGUCAGGUCAAGGUGUAGCAUAUGAGAGGGGAAGAAAUGGGCUACAUUCCCUAUCACAGAGAAUACGAACAAUGCAAUGAAAUAUGCGUUAGAAGGAGGAUUUAGCAGUAAGCAGAAAAUAGAGCG